UACGUAGGGGCCUAGCGUUGUCCGGAUUUAUUGGGCGUAAAGAGCUCGUAGGCGGGGGAGCAAGUCUGCUGUGAAAGCCCGGAGCUCAACUCCGGAGGGUCGGCGGAUACUGUCUCUCUUGAGGGAGGCAGGGAGAAGUGGAAUGGCUGGUGUAGCGGUGAAAUGCGUAGAUAUCGGGAGGAACACCUGUGGCGAAAGCGGCUCACUGGACCACAACUGACGCUGAGGCGCGAAAGCUAGGGGAGCAAACAGG
rnacentral:rRNA from 1 species